AAAUCUCUUAUCCCUCUCUCCCCUUCCGCCACCACCAUGACCAAAAUUACGAAAAACUUCUGGAAAUCCACGGCGAAGACUAUGGCGAGGACGCGAUGGAGGAUCUUGCGCUCGCGAAUGCCCCAAGUGGCGUUCCCUUACCCACAAUUUCUCGAUUUUGCGAAGGUUUUUUCUUCGUCGCCUCAUACACAUAUGUUUAAUGUGAUUUUGCUGCCUCUUUUUGGAUAUGGUGGUGGUCAUGAAUAAUUUUGGGUUUGGGUAGCUUUGUUUUUGUGGUUUUGAUGGUGGUGUUUUUGUUUGGGUUGGUGGUGCCGGUUGUAAUUUACUUUAGUUGUCAUUAAAAACCGUAAGAAUAUGGAAGUGUGGCGGUGAUGGUGUGGUGUAGUGGCGGCGUGGUAACAACAAGGAGCAGAUCUAGGGUUUUUUGGUAGAUCGGACAGAGGGCGGUGCGGGUAGAGAAAUCCGCACAAGCUGAACCUUAAUCGACUAUGUGUUUUUUCGGUAGUCAAUUAAGUUAAUUGACUA
rnacentral:lncRNA from 1 species